rnacentral:lncRNA from 1 species
AUUUUGUGAUCUUCGUUUAGAAGGUUGAGAAGAGUUCUAUUUUUCCAGGGUGGACAACAGGAUGACUGACAAGAAGAAACGUUACGUGAUGCUUUGAAAGGAGACUGUGCAAUAGCAACAUUCUGCCACCAGAGGGCAGUGUAGACUUUCUGGAGAAUCUCAGUUAUGCUCAGCGCUAUUGUCUGUCCCCACGCUCCAGAGAGCAGCAUGUGAUAGCUUAGUUGGACUAAUUAACAUGAA